AAGUUAUAACUUAUAAGGUUCAAAGUUCAAACUCUUGACCUCCUUUCAAAAACCAUCCUCAACCAAUUGCACCAAGAUUUAUAGUACUCCAUAAGAAAUGAAGGCAUACCUUUCAAUUUUUAUCCGAAAAAUACUUAAUAAACUCAAAAAAUUCAAAAUUAUAGCCUGAGUUAGAAACCUUCACCCCAUCUCAUCUCUCUUCACUGUUACGUUAAAUUCGAAACCAAUCUCAAAAUUAUUCGCCAUCGUCGAAUCCCCUACAAAACCCUCUGAUAUCUGUGCGUUUGCAGCUAUGGAGAGCGCUCUUUUGUGUGCUUCAUCUCGCUUCGUUUCUUCACAUUAUCACAACAAAGCUGAUGCUUUCAAAAGCAAUUUCGGAAGUAUGUCUACUGGAAAAUUGCUGUACAGUAAUUCCAUUUUCAAAAGAAAUACAGGAACAACACCAACAAGGCGUGCCCUUAUUUCUUCCGUGCUUGAUCGGAAGGCUAAGAAAGAGACUGUUGUUAUUCCGGAUCCUGAUUACCGAAUUCCAGUUGUGCUUUUCGGAAUGGCUGGUGGUCUUGUUUACGCCGAUAAUUUAGUAGCGGCAGUACCUGUUGGUCUUCUAGGGUUGCUCCUUCUAGUCCAGGCAACAAGAGUGAGAUUCGUCUUUGAUAAGGAUGCCCUGGAGGUAAAAGUUGGAGAUCAGCUUAAGGACUCAGGUGAAAAUGUUUUUGUGGGUGGAGAAAACCGGUGGAAAUAUUCAACAUUUGUCAACUGGGAGCUCUGGUGGCCUUCAUUCCCAAUCCUGGUUUAUUUUAAGGAGACACAAACAAAACCUGAAGGACAAAUCCAUUUUUUUCCAGUAAUUUUUAAUGGUAAACAACUCUAUAAUGCUUUAGUGGAAAGAUGUGGUCCUUCAAAAACUAGCGGACCCAAGUAAGCGUUACACAUAAGUUCACAGCUGAAAUGAGAUGGGCAUCUGUGAUCAAACAAUAGCAAGGCAGUGGUUCCAUCUAUGUCUGGAAGCAAUUGAGAAAAUGCACCAUAAGGUCCAUAACCUUCCCUCAUUGUAACAAGUCGUUUGUUACUUGUGUUGAUGUGUGUAGCAGAUAUGUAGCUAUGUAAACCUUUACUCAUCAUCCUGUUAACUAUAUAAUCUUGUAUAUAAUAUUUUAUAACUCGAUUGAUGUAGUUUUCUGCUCACAUUAUUUUGAGACAGAGACUCUGGUGUGAACUUUCCUCAAUUAAUGGUAAUUAUUAAUGAAAUAUUAAUUAGAGGUUAA